UUAAUUUUAUGUUGGAUAAAGACAUUAUGUUAAGUUAAGUUAUGCGAAAAAGUUAAAAAAUGCACAUUCUUCAGUUAAUCAGUUUCCUGUUGUCCAAUUAUUGGUUGAAUAGCACUGGUAUCGAUUGGUCUUGAUGAUCUUUGGUUAAACUUACAGACAUUAUGCAGUUUUUGUCACAGGUUACUACUGAUAUUAUAUGUAAAUCAUAACGAUCUUCCUUUUUUCCAAGUCCUUUUUGAGAUGUUCUGAGCGUUUAACUUGAAACGAUUGUUACGCUCGGCCCAGUACAGCCCAUAGACCAGGUCCAACAGCUCUCUUCCCUCGACCGUUCCUGUUGCCGUCGUGCCCCGCACUUCCCGUUUUCUUUCCACUCGUUGACCACCCUCCAUCGUCCACUCGACGUUAUCUUACGUCGACUCUUUCGUUUAAAUUCCUUUUCCUGAAUCCAGCCUCUCCAAGAUUUCUGGAUCAUAACACGAUGAGCGAUCUUUUGACAUCGAAAACGCUGUUUACUUUAUCAUGUUUGCAAAGACAUAGAUGGUAAUAUUAGCCAGAUUAAGUUUCAGUACCUAAAAAAUUCCGCAUCGGCUCGGCUAGGAACUCAAGUAUCACUCCGUAUACAAUCUGCGACAGACCAAAGGCCUUUUUGAAACUAAACGCAGUUGUAAAAGUGAAGGUUGAUUGACGCUGCGGUUCAAAAGUACCAAUGAUGAUAUUGCAAUUGGAAAGAAUUCUACAGCGGGUCGGCUUUGCUGUUCUCUUUCUUGAAUUCUUGCAACAGAAGUUGGCUGUCGAUGUUUUGGUCGGUAGCAAUCGCUUUCCCCUUGCCGCACAAAAGUUUAUGCCAACCCAAUGUAAUCAAGUGAAAAAGGUGCAUCUGAAUGUACGCAGUUUUCAUCGUUUUGGUCUUGAGUGGACCCAAUAGGGGAAAAUAUGGAAUUCUACGAAUCACUGCCAGCAAGUGAUGUGAUCGUGGUACAGGUAUUGAAAUCAGAUGAGUCGGUUUUGGCUGCUUUAAACCAUUCUUCGGUGCAACUUUGUUCGGUGCUUGAGCGGGCUGAACUUGGAGUUUCUUCGACUUCGGCAUUUUUUUUAAUACUUAAAAAUAGCUCGUUGAAUAACGUAAUACAUGUUGCGAUGAUUGGUUCAGUAUAUAUCAACUACCGACCCGUUUCUUGCAGCAGCAAGUGACAAACGGACCAUUUCAUUCGACGUAGAAAUUAUCCUGUUGGAGGAAAAAGAUUCGACGAUAAUAAUCAAGAAUGACGAUGCCGGAUACUGGGAGAACAACAACACUGUAAAAGAUGCUGAUCAACAGUAAUAAUACAUCAACAGAAAAGACAGAUUCACAAGAAAUUGUUUGAGCCAGUUUACGUAAUUAGGCAAUUGACUCCCGCAUUCCUCAACACAGGUUUCAAGUUUACUAAAAUUGCUGAACAGCAAAUCUGAAUUAACUGAUCUAAUACUCUGUGGGAGUACUCUACUACAUUCCAAGCGAGGAAAACACCUGUUUAUUGAUGUUUCACCAGGAAAAUACUACCAUUUUGGUGUAGAGGCAGCCCCCUACAGUGUUAGAGUCGAAAGGAAUACAAAUCCCUCUUGAGUUGAAGCUUUUACUCAACGUGGAUGGAAUUCCAAUGAGAAAGAGUAUAACAUCAGAAUUCUGACCGAUUCUUUUUAGAAUUCUUGGUAGUAAUUAGCAUUUUUAAUCGAUUUUACUACCUCUAUGUAAAUUGAUCAAAAUA
rnacentral:lncRNA from 1 species